UACGUAGGUGGCAAGCGCUGUCCGGAUUUAUUGGGUUUAAAGGGUGCGUAGGCGGUGAUUUAAGUCAGUGGUGAAAUACGGCAGCUCAACUGUCGAGGUGCCAUUGAUACUGGGUCACUUGAGUACUGAUGAGGUAGGCGGAAUGGACGGUGUAGCGGUGAAAUGCUUAGAGAUCGUCCAGAACACCGAUAGCGAGGGCAGCUUACUAAGGAGUAACUGACGCUGAGGCACGAAAGUGUGGGGAUCAAAC
rnacentral:rRNA from 1 species